rnacentral:rRNA from 1 species
UACGGAGGGUGCAAGCGUUGUUCGGAAUUAUUGGGCGUAAAGCGCGUGUAGGCGGCUUUGCAAGUCGGGUGUGAAAGCCCUCGGCUCAACCGAGGAAGUGCGCCCGAAACUGCAGAGCUUGAGUACCGGAGAGGAUGGCGGAAUUCCCCAAGUAGAGGUGAAAUUCGUAGAUAUGGGGAGGAACACCGGUGGCGAAGGCGGCCAUCUGGACGGAUACUGACGCUGAGACGCGAAAGCGUGGGGAGCAAACAGG